UAUACUUUACACAACCGAGUUACAAGAAGCAUCUAGUAUUUUAUUAUAUUACUGGCAGCUUCAAUAAUUUUAAAAUCUAAAUCUAUAUUUGGAUUUUGGUCAUAGUGUAUGUGCACAUUGUGUUUUUUUGCUGGUACAUUCUUGAGCUGCGAUAUCAUACAGCAAAAGUCUGUCGUAGAAUUGAAUGUCUUUAGCGUAGAGUUAAUAUAUAAUAUAAUAUAAUGUAAAUUAAACACUUUUUUCCGCGCUUAGCCUCUCAUUUGGGUCAUUGCGCGUAUGAGUCGUGGCUAGUACAGCCAACCCAGCUCCGCCCAGAAGCACAGAAGCUUCCUGGGACCUUCACAGGCCUCACGGAGCGACCUCACCGUUUCGAGGAUUUCUAAACGUUGAUGGACCACAGCUUCACAUUUGAGAAUACAUAUUGCAGUGAAAUUACACAAUAUGGAGGUAUGACACCUUAAUCCUUAGAAAUUGUAAGACAACAUGAGGGGUACCAAGAACGUGAGAGCAUUCUGUGAUGACUAUGGUGCAGUAGAUGUCUAUAGACGACGGUUAUCACUUUGCAUCAGGACGGCCGUCAGUUUCUUUAUCAUUCUACUUGUAAGUUGCAGAUCUAUACACAACUAGUUGAUGUUGAUAUAUAUACUUAUUCGGAAUAAUUUCUGAAUAUACUUUUUCAUAAUAAAAAUAAACAGUAAUUUAUGAACAUUAAUGAAAUAUCUUCAUUGAAUUAUCUUAUUAUUAUAAUUUUGCACAUCUAUUUAUUUUGUGCUACUCAUCAAGACAUGGCGUUAAUA